UAUCCUGUCCUUUUGGUUUUCCCAAUACGAUCUGAAAAGUCUGCAUGGGAAGAGAAGAGAGGAGAAAGGAAUGGAAAGGUUGUCCCACCUUUGUCACUGCUUCUAACUCCCAGGCAAGGGAGGGGAUUUAAAGAGUUACUUGUUUCCACCAGAGGCCCCUUGGAAGGGUCCCUUCCCAGGAGGGAAGCCAUGGGCAGUUAUGAUGGGCAGAGAACAGAGGGUCAAGAGCCCAGGACCAGAAGAAAAGCAAAGGAGCUUUCGAUAAUAAAAGCAUCAUUUUUCCAGUCCUCUCUGGGGUGCUGUGCCCAAAGCACCACAUACCCCAGGUAUCCAAUCAGCUGGAAAAAGGGGGCAUAUUUUCCCAUUUUCUGCUCCUCAAAUCAAUGGAAUCCUCAUGCCCAAAUGCUUUUAUAGUCUUUAUCGCCACGUACCACCCUCCACCUGACAAUUUGACUCUAAGAUGCUCACAUAAGGAAAAGGUAGAAGAAGUAACCAACCCACCUCAUGACAAAGUACCCACCAAGUCCCUUCCCCUCCAUUUAUCAUGGCUAACAGAGAAGACGGGAUGAUUCCCAGAUCACCUGCCUGCUCACCUGUCCCUUAUCCUUCACCCAGCCCAGGGAACCACCACAGGGCUGGUGGCUGAAGCAACUGAAACUUGAUGGUAGAAGCUGAAUGUGAGUUAUGACAAAGACAAUGCUUUCAUCUGAGGGUUAGGCACUGUAUUUUUUUUACUAAUCUGAGGAGACAAGGUUGAGAGGGACAUGGACCUUAAGUCUUUUCACUUCACUUACUAUAAUGGUAAACUAGUACAACUCGGGGGUACAUCAAAUGUAUUGAUAUGGGAUGGCAGUUUUCAGAGCUUUAGACAGAGUUCUAAACCUGAUCUAAGAAUGAUUUUGUUGCUCCAACUUCUUAUCUGCCAUUAGCCAACUCUAAGUCUGGCAAAAGUGGAAAUAAGGCAGCAAGGGGAACAGGUCAUGGUUAGUAUGGGAGUGUCAAAGGCCAUAUAGUCAGUAUUUGUUUCAUUUUGGUAAAAUGCAAGGUAGAGGAGGCCUAGGGGUGUGUGUUGGUGGUAGAGAGGAAGUAUGAAAUCGGAGGGAUAGUCUAGGAGAGGUUGAAUGCAAUGGAAAUAAGAGUGGGAAGAUAAGACAGGAGAGGAGGAAACAUUCUUGGAUGCUAAUAGGAGUCAAGAGGAGGGGGCCAAGUCUUGCAUUGUGAGAGGUGCACAAGCUUAUGAGGUAUAGGUUGGGGGUAGGUGAAAUGUUAGGUUACAGUGCAAUGGAAUUGGUGGCAGCCUGAAAGAGCACACUUACAGAAAAGAAGAAAACAAAAGGAAGGCGAGAGCUUUCACAGAGGAGAUGGAGGACAAUUUACACAAUAACUAUAAUGUUGUAAAGACAAUCCACCUUGAAAGAUUUAAAAACUCUGAUCAAUGCAAUGAUCAGCCAGGACUCCUGGGGGUAGAUUCCAGGCCACCCAUGUCCUGAAAGAGAGGUGGUGGACUCAGGAUGAUGAAUGGGAUAUAUGAUUUUUUGGAGGGGGCUACUGUGGGAAUUUGUUUUGACUACUUGUAUUUUUUUCUGUUCCACUAUCAUAUUAAAAUACAAAGAUAUCAACCAUCUAUUUUUUCUCCCUUCAGGCUCUCCUAACACCACCCCCCAAACUGGAAAAGAAAAAAAAACACUUGUAACAAAUAAGUACAAUGC